rnacentral:rRNA from 1 species
GAACCUGAAACCGUGUACGUACAAGCAGUGGGAGCACGCUUAGGCGUGUGACUGCGUACCUUUUGUAUAAUGGGUCAGCGACUUAUAUUCUGUAGCAAGGUUAACCGAAUAGGGGAGCCGAAGGGAAACCGAGUCUUAACUGGGCGUUAAGUUGCAGGGUAUAGACCCGAAACCCGGUGAUCUAGCCAUGGGCAGGUUGAAGGUUGGGUAACACUAACUGGAGGACCGAACCGACUAAUGUUGAAAAAUUAGCGGAUGACUUGUGGCUGGGGGUGAAAGGCCAAUCAAACCGGGAGAUAGCUGGUUCUCCCCGAAAGCUAUUUAGGUAGCGCCUCGUGAAUUCAUCUCCGGGGGUAGAGCACUGUUUCGGCAAGGGGGUCAUCCCGACUUACCAACCCGAUGCAAACUGCGAAUACCGGAGAAUGUUAUCACGGGAGACACACGGCGGGUGCUAACGUCCGUCGUGAAGAGGGAAACAACCCAGACCGCCAGCUAAGGUCCCAAAGUCAUGGUUAAGUGGGAAACGAUGUGGGAAGGCCCAGACAGCCAGGAUGUUGGCUUAGAAGCAGCCAUCAUUUAAAGAAAGCGUAAUAGCUCACUGGUCGAGUCGGCCUGCGCGGAAGAUGUAACGGGGCUAAACCAU